UUUUUUUUUGCCACAGGAACAUAACCACUUGCACUAAGGGCACGUUCACUCAAGACCAGCUUCAGGACAACUUCUCUUACGUCAUCCUCAAGCAGCUUGUGCGGUGAGGUUGUUACAGAGCACUGAUGGAACUAGAUUCUAGACUGUCACGCUUGAUAGAAAUGUUAAAUAAACAUUUGAUCUGUUCUAUACAACGACAAAAAAUGCUUGUGAUGCCAAAGUGUUUUUUUUUAUCUUUUUCAUUCGCGGAACAUAAGGCUUCCACAAAGAAAGGUAUUACAGAGUUAUAAGAAGGUUAUUUCCGUAAAUAUAUUUUUUUGUCAUGUCAUGUGCAGUUAUAACCACUAGUAUUUCAUUCAUUAUCCUCCUCUUCCACCACUUUUCCCUCCUCCACUAAGAAGUAUGUAUGAACCUCUGCACCUGUUCAGGCCUAGCUCUGCCUCCAGUGACCUGUAUAUCUCCUACUACAGCAUCACAGACUACUUCUGCCCCCUGCUGGUCUACCACGAUACCCCCGGAUACCCUCCAUGGAGCUCUACUAUACGCUGACCACUACAUUCAGUGUGCACAGGGCAUUCCUUCCUCCUCCCUCUGGUGUGGCACUGGGCAUCUUCCUGGCCAUCUUUGUGGUCCCGCUGCUCAUCGGCUUUCUCCUCAGCCAGCGCGCUCACCAAAAAAAAAUAGGAUGGACACACACAAUGUGCAACACAUUCAGUUGUUUUUUUUGUCAAACACACGCACUCACAAUACAUCCCCAAAACAGGAAAAACACACGCAUGUCCUCCGAGCUGCGUGA
rnacentral:lncRNA from 8 species